UGAGGAAUAUUGGUCAAUGGGCGAGAGCCUGAACCAGCCACGUCGCGUGAAGGAAGACUGACCUUACGGUUUGUAAACUUCUUUUGUAGAGGGGUAAUGGCAGAUACGUGUAUUUGCGUGAAAGUACUCUACGAAUAAGCAUCGGCUAACUCCGUGCCAGCAGCCGCGGUAAUACGGGGGAUGCGAGCGUUAUCCGGAAUUAUUGGGUUUAAAGGGUGCGCAGGUGGCUAAUCAGGUCAGUGGUGAAAAGCUAUGGCUCAACCAUGGUCUUGCCAUUGAAACCGUAUAGCUAGAGAGGAGACGAGGUAGGCGGAAUGUGUGGUGUAGCGGUGAAAUGCAUAGACAUCACACAGAACUCCGAUUGCGAAGGCAGCUUACCAGGCUUUAUCUGACACUUAGGCACGACAGCGUGGGGAUCAAACAGG
rnacentral:rRNA from 1 species